rnacentral:rRNA from 1 species
UACGGGGGGGGUAAGCGUUGUUCGGAAUUACUGGGCGUAAAGGGCUCGUAGGCGGCCAACUAAGUCAGACGUGAAAUCCCCAGGCUCAACCUGGGAACUGCGUCUGAUACUGGAUGGCUUGAAUCCGGGAGAGGGAUGCAGAAUUCCAGGUGUAGCGGUGAAAUGCGUAGAUAUCUGAAGGAACAUCAGUGGCGAAAGCGACUUCCUGGACCAAUACUGACGCUCAUGUGCGAAAGCGUGGGGAGCAAACAGG